UUUUUUUUUUUUUUUUCAUUUACACAGCGGAGAAGGAAAAAAAAAACUCGGGAUGGAUACAGUUGAACACACUGCCUCUACAAUCCUGGUCGUACAAAUAGUGACUAAGAAUUUAAAGAAAGGACUCUUUCUAUUCCAUACUGGAGCUUUGGUUGUUUACAAACCACAUGGAUAUCUGUGGGUGCAGUUUUGUUUUUCUUUUCUUUUCUUUUUUUUUUUUUUUUGGCUUUUUUGUUCCCACAUAAGACGGGUGGGGUUUGCAAGUGCGCUUCUGCCAUAUGGACAUUGAGUGGUGUUGGGGUUUUUUGAGGAAGAGUGGCAGGUAUCACAACAACAUGGACAAGAUCCUCUAAGUGGACUUUUGUUUGUGGUCGUGGGUCUUGAGACUUGAUCAUCAACCGUGGAGCAGAGGCGAAAGAAAUCAAGGAUGGGCUCUGUUUUGUGGAGAACGGAGUGCAGGGCUGCAGAACCCUAGAGGGAACUGAGAAGGCAAUAUGAGUACUCCUGGUUAGUGCACUUGUCUUCACCUCAACCCUCAUACGCACCCACACCCUGCCCUCACCAACUCACCUAUGCACUUUUGUUCAUUCAAGCUGUGAGGUACAAUUUUGGGGAUGGGAGCACAAUUACAACAGGAGGAUUGCUACGACUUUGACAAAGUCACUGAAAAGAUAUUCCCAAACUGAAAUAAGAGACUUGAGAAGCACGUCUUCUCCCACCUCCUGUAUAUAACCAUAUUUUUGUAUUACCUUUCAAAGUAGAAAGAAAAUUUGCAAAUGGAUGAAGGAAAAUUCAUGAGACGUUGAAUAUAUGGAGUGAAUGUUCUUCAUGAAAACCAAUCUUUUUGAAUAUAGUUUGAGAUGGACUCGCUGUGAGUUUCCAUUAGUUUGCCAGUAACCCUGAAAUAAUCGGGGAUGGAACGGAAAUCCACAUGGACUGAGGUGUUGGACAUGCUGCAGCUCCAAGACUGACUGAUAGUUACUUAUCAAAAUGGACGUUGCAGUGGCUACAAAGAGUCCACCAAGAGUGUUUGAUCAACACACACACAGUGAAGAGGCAGACUCGGGUUUAAAGAGCUUUUGGCAAGGAUGCUUCCAACCCGACGGCUGCCUUGAGAGCUGUAAAGUGAAUGCAGGAGAAAAAAGGGUUCGGCAUUGGAGUCUGGCUGUGCUUUAUUUGCUGCCCUCUGCAAGGAGGAUCUAAUCUACAGCCAACCAAUGAACCAGUUAACCCUAAACCUGUCCCGUUGAACUUUAACCCUAAGAAACUUUUCAUGACCUCAGAUUGGGCAGGCCAUUGGCAUUAUCAGUUGGACAGUUACCAGGUGAAGUUACAGGUGUAUCAACCAUCAAUCCCAUCUGUGUUGGAAGUAAUCAGAUUUGGGAUUUGAUGACACGCUCUCCAACGAGGAAGAGGAUAAAACGGCACGUAUUGCCCAGAUGUCAUCAUCCACCUCGACCUGAAACUCUUGGGAGGUUGCGUAGAGGUCUUCUAACCAGUGGGACAAGAAGACCUGCCCUCCUGCCCUGACGUCAGAGAUGGAGAGCCGGGUUGAGUCAUGGUGGACGUGGCUGGAUUACAUCUCAGCCCCCGGAAAUCCCUGCAACUGUGGAACUGGAUGAACUGAAAGAAUUGUACAAAAAAAAUAAGAAGAAGAAGAAGAAGAAAAAAAAAGACUUUGAAACAUGACAAAACACAAACUACACAUCACAUAGAUUCUAGAGUCCAAAGGAGCGGCAGACACACUACAUGCACACUUACAGCAAAAGUUACAUUGGCUCUCCUCUGGAACCAUGUCUGCACACAUGACAGGGAUGCAUCAAUAUCAAGUCACACAGAUACAAAGACACACAAGCAUCAACGCUCAUCAAUAUAAACGCUGAGCUUUGUAAAUAAUGUAAAAGUUUGUGUUUUGAUUUUUCUCUCAUAGUGGGUUUUGCUUUAUUUCUUGGUUCAACAUGCCUUAAAUUGUAUAGUUCAGUCUUGAAUGGCUAACUGAAAAAAAAUGUUCUCUAAAUGACAAAUUUGAGUUGGAAACCACCUUGUUAACUGUACUCUAAAGUUAAAGAAAGAAAGGUUUCAGCAAGACUGUUUUCUGUUGGCUAACAGAAUUGCCCUGUAUAAACCUGCUACAUGUACAUCUGAUCACCUUUAAAGUUACUAGUUAACUACAGAAUAGAGCAGUAAGUGUUUUUUGAUUGAGCUAAUUUUGCCGGUGGUUGGCUUUUGUUGCCCUUUUUGUUUUCAUUAAAACGAAGAGUGGGUUUUGUUCGGAUUUCCUAUUUAGAUUUUUGCUGAAGGUGCAGGCUUAAUAAAGGGCUCAAGUCUGUACUGUCUGGAGCUUAGCUGAUUGGGUAGGAUGCAAAGAAUUGUCUUCAAGCACAAACUUGUUGCAGUGUGAUAACUGUUGGACACACAGCUUUGGGCAAAACUGAACCAGAGUGGCAGGUCAAAUGAGAUACAAGUUAGUGCAUUUGGUUCAUUAUAUACACUCCAGGGACUGAAAUGGUUUAGAAGAUACAAGGUACUUUUUUUUUUUUUUACAGUUUUGAGAUGAUGACUCAGGCUUGUAUGAUACGAGUAAUUCUAAGUUAAAGCUUGCAAGAUUUGUAAUAUUUGUGGGUUUUGACACUAAACCUUGAGGUGAGUCACAACCUGGCCGAGAGUGCCUCUCCUCCGUCUGUGCACCUUGUAGUGCUGCUGACCAUCUCUGAUGGCGCUGAAUAGAUAAUAAUUGACCAAGCAGAUGUGUCUGAAUCUGGAAGGAAGUCUUGGACAGUGUCUUGUUCUGUGUAUGCAUAUUGAAUUGGAUUCAAGAGAUUAAUGUUUUUAGUAAAACAAUAGUUUUUUGUUUUGUACCCUUAAUAACGGAACAGUAUGCAGUUUUUAAUCCUCGUGGCAUCUGAUAUAUUUGAUAACAUCAGAUUAGACUUGUGAUAAACUUGUACAUUUUGAUUUGGUGAGGGUUUUGGUUGGUUGGUAUCACUUGAAGUAGCCACAGUAGGCUCCCGUAUGCCAUAACCACUGACUUGAUAGUCAUGUUCACACAGUGAAUAAAAUGACAACUAAACUUUCAAAUUGUCACCAUCAGUUGCCAAAACAGAGAAAUUGACUUGAAACAGAUUAGUAUGCUGUCAACUCCUUUAUUAGUGAAUAACUUUAAAAUUGCCUAGGUUUGACAUUUUUAAAAGCUGAUAUUGUGUAGUACGAAUCGCUGGUCAGUCAUCUGUUUUACUGUACUCCACAGGCUUUUAUGAUCAGAUACAUUACAGUAUUGUGUUGUCAAGAAGCCCUGGAUGGUUGGUUUCAGCUUGUGAAAAGAUCCUGUCACGUCCCAGCCUGUCUACUCAAGGAUAUAAAGUUGAUUGUCUGGUUCUUUGUUGCCUGUUGCUGUUGUUCCAACCUUAAUGAUAUGAUACACCCCAGUCAGCUCAGCUCCUUCGCUUAAGUCUUUAAAUGUUGUUAAACUAACAGCAUACGUGUAAUGAAACUGUUUUGGAAAAGAACAACUGAAAGAUGUGUAAAUAGUUUGGCUUUUGUUUGUUUGAAGAACAAAAUAAAUACUAAAUAAAUAGCAUUUAGCUGUG